UAGGGAAUCUUCCACAAUGGAACGAAAGUCUGAUGGAGCAACGCCGCGUGAGUGAAGAAGGGUUUCGGCUCGUAAACUCUGUUGUUAAAGAAGAACAUAUCUGAGAGUAACUGUUCAGGUAUUGACGGUAUUUAACCAGAAAGCCACGGCUAACUACGUGCCAC
rnacentral:rRNA from 1 species